rnacentral:rRNA from 1 species
GACGAACGCUGGCGGCGUGCUUAACACAUGCAAGUCGAACGAGUGGCGAACGGGUGAGUGAUACGUGGGUAAACUGCCCUCUUUUUGGGAUAAGCCUUUGAGACGGGGUUUAAUACCGAAUACCGGGGGAUGGGCUCGCGGCCUAUCGGCUUGUUGGUGGGGUGAUGGCCUACCAAUGCGGUGACGGGUAGCGGGCCUGAGAGGGUGACCGGCCACAGUGGGACGGAGAGACGGCCAAGACUGCUACGGGAGGCAGCUGUAGGGGAUAUGGCACAAUGGGGGACAGCCUGAUGCAGCGACGUCGCGUGGGGGAUGAAGGCUUUCGGGUUGUAAACCUCUUUCGCUAUCGAUUGGGUAGGUGGAGAAGAAGCGCCGGCUAACUACGUGCCAGCAGCCGCGGUAAUUC